UACGUAGGGGGCAAGCGUUGUCCGGAAUCAUUGGGCGUAAAGCGCGUGUAGGCGGCUUGGUAAGUCCGCUCUGAAAGCCCGGGGCUCAACCCCGGGAGGCGGGUGGAUACUGUCAAGCUCGAGUCCGGAAGAGGCGAGUGGAAUUCCCGGUGUAGCGGUGAAAUGCGCAGAUAUCGGGGGGAACACCAAUGGCGAAGGCAGCUCGCUGGGACGUGACUGACGCUGAGACGCGAAAGCGUGGGGAGCAAACAGG
rnacentral:rRNA from 1 species